ensembl:lncRNA
UACCACUCUCUUUUGUAAGAGGAAUAAAAUAAAUAAAUUUUUAAAAAAGAAGAAGGAAAAAAAAAAGCUUGUGGUAUCCCUAAAAUCAAGCUAGCACCUGGUGAAGUGUUUCAGAGUGUCAGCUACAACCCUCUGCCCUGCUCUCUCCAGCAGCUCCCUGCUUGGGGAUGCUCCCAUACGUUGCAGAAAUCUUCCUGUGGAGACAACAAGGCAGUGGAGCAGCACACACAUGCUCAGAGGAAGUAACAACUUAGAUGCAGUAAUCAAGAAGCAGAUAGAUCCAGAGAAGGGAACAUCGCCAUAGCUCAUAUAAAUUGGAGAAACUGUAAUAGAACCUUAAAGCUAGGAACACUGUUUUUUAUCUGAACUGAAAGGCACUGGCUGUGGUGGUACACAGAGACAUCAAAACAAGAAUAGGAGGUGGAAAUGAGUGGAAAGAGAGCAUUUUGGAUUGAAGUCUCUAAACCCAUCAAAACUGCCAUUGUAAAUCAAACUGACAGUCAAUUACAAGAUGAACUACGCAUUUGAACAAGUCCAGCUUAGAAAGCCCAGCCAUCUCUAAUAUACUUAUGGACCUGCAAAUGCUCUUCAUUUGCAGGACAGAGGGGUGACCACCGCGUGCGAUCAGCUGCUGCUGAGGUGUGGUAUAUAAAAAAAUAGCAGAACUGUAAAGGAACUCAGAGGAAUUUAGUCAAAAUGAUCAGAAAAGCGUUAUCUGCCUCCCAAGGAAUAAACUUGAGUUGGAAUUCUAACAGCGCAAAGCAAAGCACAGGAGAGGAUGUGGUAACCGAGCAUAACAAGAGUGAGGAGGAACAGGCCUGUCCCCAUCUGCUUCUUUGCACCCCGUGGAUUUGCAGGAACACUGUGUCCCUGCCUGGGCUCUGGCUGGAGUAGAACAAGAAGGAAAGAAAGCCACAGUGUCAAAACUUGAAUUACUGCAGUAGCAGCAGAUAGAGGAAUGGCCAUUAGCAUUACCCAUUGUGACACUGUGCUCAAUCCAUCAGUUUGAGUACCUUAUGUUAAGUGGCAGUGGACUUCAGAGAUCAGUAGUGCUUUUUUGUUCUAUUUAAUCUCUCCUGCUUUUCUCAUCAUUCCCAGUCUUGCUCCUAACCCAUUGCUUUCCUGCUAUUCUUUUGUUAAGUCAAUAAGUGAUCUCCUUCAUGGGCCAGAAUAACAUGACAUUUAGUGGGAUAAGUAGUUUCUUUCCUGCAUGAAUUGUGUUUCACCUGGCAUCCACACCCACUCUCUCUUCAAUUACAUCUUUAAAAGAAACUUAACAAUGUCUUCUGUUACUUGAUUGCUUUGAGGGGUCCCAAUUCUUUAACUGCUCCAGUGCUAGACAGGGACAGCAAAGCAAUGGGCUGUGAAUUGCACCUAGAAGCACAUACACAUUUGUUCCUGCAUACUUCAGUGGUUUCUUCUCCCAGAGAACACAAGGCUGGAAAAUGGAGUGUUUCUUGUGCCUGCACCUCCUUGGCAGCUGCCUGCUGGUCUGUUAAGUAGACCAGACGGAGGUGGGGAUGACUUGUUCGCUGUUACAGGAUCCCACUUAUGCAACAAACCUAGCAACUAUCCAAGGAGAUGAGAGAGUACGUUUUUUGAAGAGAGUGUGUACAGAAGGAAUUCUGGAAAUACUUCUUCCUCUUUUUGACAUCCAAAAAAGAGAGGACGCUGAUAGGCUGGAAUGAGACCAGGUAAUAAAGGGAAG